GUCUGGAAAGGCGCGCGAUACAGGGUGACAGCCCCGUACACAAAAGCGCAUGUGCUGUGAGCUCGAUGAGUAGGGCGGGACACGUGGUAUCCUGUCUGAAUAUGGGGGGACCAUCCUCCAAGGCUAAAUACUCCUGACUGACCGAUAGUGAACCAGUACCGUGAGGGAAAGGCGAAAAGAACCCCGGCGAGGGGAGUGAAAAAGAACCUGAAACCGUGUACGUACAAGCAGUGGGAGCACAGGUUUACCUGUGUGACUGCGUACCUUUUGUAUAAUGGGUCAGCGACUUAUAUUCUGUAGCAAGGUUAACCGUAUAGGGGAGCCGGAGGGAAACCGAGUCUUAACCGGGCGUUAAGUUGCAGGGUAUAGACCCGAAACCCGGUGAUCUAGCCAUGGGCAGGUUGAAGGUUGGGUAACACUAACUGGAGGACCGAACCGACUAAUGUUGAAAAAUUAGCGGAUGACCUGUGGCUGGGGGUGAAAGGCCAAUCAAACCGGGAGAUAGCUGGUUCUCCCCGAAAGCUAUUUAGGUAGCGCCUCGUGAAUUCAUCUCCGGGGGUAGAGCACUGUUUCGGCUAGGGGGCCAUCCCGGCUUACCAACCCGAUGCAAACUGCGAAUACCGGAGAAUGUUAUCACGGGA
rnacentral:rRNA from 1 species